UACAGAGGUCUCAACCGUUGUUCGGAUUCAUUGGGCGUAAAGGGUGCGUAGGCGGUCUGGCAAGUCGGAUGUGAAAUCUCAGGGCUCAACCCUGAAACUGCAUUCGAUACUGCUAGGCUUGAGUACUGUAGGGGAGACUGGAAUUUACGGUGUAGCAGUGAAAUGCGUAGAUAUCGUAAGGAAGACCAGUGGCGAAGGCGAGUCUCUGGACAGUUACUGACGCUGAGGCACGAAGGCCAGGGGAGCAAACGGG
rnacentral:rRNA from 1 species